AAAGUCGUAACAAGGUUUCCGUAGGUGAACCUGCGGAAGGAUCAUUAACACGUAUCCACGUAUCAACCCCUCUGUGAAAUCUUACUUCAGAAAGGUUUGGUCUUAGUGUGUUGCUCGCAUGGGUCCUAAUGAUGGAGGCAGCAAUGCCUAGGGCUCGAGUGACAUGUGUUUGACGUCCAACCGCCACUUUCCCAUCGUUGGCCCCUUUUUUAAUAACCCCUUGUACUCUUUUGUACUGAACCAAUUCUUCUGACGCUCUUAAUUGAGUGACGGAUAGAUAUUACGAAACUUAAGAACAACUCUUAGCAACGGAUAUCUUGGUUCCC
rnacentral:misc_RNA from 1 species